GUUAAAGUGGCCGAGUUUUAAGCGAUGGUCUGUAAAAUCAUUUACGGGGCACCACCCCCUUUAAUA
rnacentral:tRNA from 1 species